GAAGGUUAGAGGACUUGCUAUUUGGAAAAGCAAACGGGGAGGAAGAGUAAUUCAGAAGGGGGAAAGUGUUUAGAAAGGCACUGUGAGAUUUCAAGGAAAUACCCAUAACUUAUAAGGCAAGAAUAGAGAAAACUCACAGGGGUGAGAAGUGGCAAGAAAUGAAGCCGGUAAGACAAGAGGGGCCAAAUAAGAAGGCCACAUGGACCAUGCUAAGAGGUCUGCAUUUCAUCUUGCUCAGCCAUUGAGACAGACAGUGAGUCAAAUAUUUACCCAGGGCCUAGUAUGUGCCAGGGAAUGUGAAAGCAAAAGCAACACAGUUUCUGUCCUGCCUCCCCAGAGGGCGCAGUCAGGUGAGAAAGGACGUGCCUAAAUAGACUGGAGGUGAACAUGGAAUGUUAGGGGAACACAGGUGAGGACUGCUCAACUGCACCUGAAGGGAGAAAGAGGCAAUCACUUUGGGAGAUGAUGCCUGCACUGCUUCUUAAGAAACAAUUAGGAGUCAGCUGAGCAAAUCAGGCAAUCACAAAGACUACAUUUGAUUGUGGGUAACUGAAACCCCAGAAAACAAAACCGAGGAUAAUGGGGGACCACCGCAUAUAUCUCAGAGAUGGAGCCUCACUCUGUUGCCCAACUUGGAGUGCAGUGGUGCGAUCUCGGCUCACUGCAACCUUCACCUCCCGGGUUCAAGCGAAUUCUCCUGCCUCAGCCUCCCGAGUAGCUGGGAUCACAGGCACCCACCACCACACCCGGCUAAUGCUUUGUAUUUUUAGUAGAGAUGGGGUUUCGCCAUGUUGGCCAGGCUGGUCUGGAACUCCUAACCUCAGGUGAUCCACCCGCCUUGGCCUUCCAAAGUGCUGGGAUUACAGGUGUGAGCCACUGCACUGCACCCGGCCUUGAAUGCUACUUUUAAGACACAGUAGCUUUAUAACAGGAUCACACUUUACUGCUUCUCUAAGUCUAUUGAAAAGUGGUCAUUAGUAGACUGAGCAAGUCUGCAAAAAGUUAAGUUCAUUUCAGCAAAACAAAAUUACCCAUUCUCAGCAAAUAUGAAGCACCUAUUGAAUACCCAAGUAUCAUAUUAAGUGCUAGGGAUCAGUGGUUACACACACACACACACACACACACACACACAUUUUCUGCCCUUAUGGAACUAAUGAUCUACUCUUAGAGUGAGAGUGACAGCAAAAGUGAGACAGUGCGAGGGGUGGUGUGUGAGAGGAACCAUAAUAUUAACAUAACAAUGUUUUGGAUAAAGGAAAACUUGUCUGAGGAAGUGACAAAUGUAAGAAAAUAUGGAGAAGGAAAAAGACAGGAAAGAACAUGCAAAAAGUCCUGAGAUAGAAAAGGGGUGAGCAACUCCUGGAAGAGAAAGCACAAUUGAUAUGGCUAGAGAAUGUAGCAUCCUAAGGGCAAAGAAAAGUCACUAAAGGGUUGAGCAAGGAAGAUACAUGUAACUUAGAAUCUAUGAAGAUGCUUGCUGGAUCGGGAAUUAGGGGUGAGGGUGGGGUGACAGAACUUGAGGAAAAGGACUAGGUAGGAGUCCAGGUGUGUGAUAAGGACUGUCUGAGCUAGGGUGACUGGCAGUGGUAACAGAGAAAAAAAAGUACAGAUUUGAUUUAUACUUUGGAUAGAGAACUGAAAUGGAUGUAGUGAGGAUGAAUACAGCAGGUGAGGGGAAAAUGCUGAUGACUCUUAGAUGGUGGGCAGAAGCAACUUGAUGGAUACAGGCACCAUUGAUGGAGAUGAAAAGGUUUAUGGAGAAAGCUUAAGAGUUCUCUUGGGAGAUGGGACAUGUGAGGUAUGAGUGUUGAUGUUAACAGUAAGGCAGCUCUCAGGACAGGAUAAGGGCUCAGAGUUUCAGCUGGACUAUCAAUUUGGAACAUAUUGGCAUGUGGAUGUCAUGUAAAGUCAUAGAAAUUGAUGAAAAAGGCUAAGGUAAGAGUUUAAGUACAGAAAAGGGCUUUAGGAACAAGCUUUUUAAAAGUUCUAAUGUUUAAAACCAAAAAGCAUAAAAAGAAAUGGCAAAAGGGGGGGAAGAAAGCCAGGAGUAUGCUGUCACAGAAGCCAAAAGAGGGUGGGGCUGUACUACCUAGUUCAUCUGUUGAGGUCAAGUAAAGAAGGUGGUGAAGUUUCUCAAAAUGUGCCUUCUACUCUCCCCUAGAAUGCAUGUAAACAAUUCACUCCCAUGGUUCUUGAAAAAAAGAAAAACCCCAAACCAGAAACAUACUAAGUUAGAAGAACAAUUUUUUAAAAUUUAUCUAUUAUAGCCAAAUCAUGAGUGAACUCCCAUUCACAAUUGCUUCAAAGAGAGUAAAAUACCUAGGAAUCCAACUUACAAGGGACGUGAAGGACCUCUUCAAGGAGAACUACAAACCACUGCUCAAUGAAAUAAAAGAGGAUACAAACAAAUGGGAGAAUAUUCCAUGCUCAUGGGUAGGAAGAAUCAAUAUCAUGAAACUGGCCAUACUGCCCAAGGUAAUUUAAAGAUUCAAUGCCAUCCCCAUCGAGCUACCAAUGACUUUCUUCACAGAAUUGGAAAAAACUACUUUAAAGUUCAUAUGGAACCAAAAAAGAGCCCGCAUCGCCAAGUCAAUCCUAAGCCAAGAGAACAAAGCUGGAGGCAUCACGCUACUUGACUUCAAACUGUACUACAAGGCUACAGUAACCAAAACAGCAUGGUACUGGUAUCAAAACAGAGAUAUAGACCAAUGGAACAGAACAGAGCCCUCAGAAAUAGUGCCACACAUCUACAACCAUCUGAUCUUUGACAAACCUGACAAAAACAAGAAAUGGGGAAAGGAUUCCCUAUUUAAUAAAUGGUGCUGGGAAAACUGGCUAGCCAUAUGUAGAAAGCUGAAACUGGAUCCCUUCCUUACACCUUAUACAAAAAUUAAUUCAAGAUGGAUUAAAGACUUAGAUGUUAGACCUAAAACCAUAAAAACCCUAGAAGAAAACCUAGGCAAUACCAUUCAGGACAUAGGCAUGGGCAAGGACUUCAUGUCUAAAACACCAAAAACAAUGGCAACAAAAGCCAAAAUUGACAAAUGGGAUCUAAUUAAAUUAAAGAGCUUCUGCACAGCAAAAGAAACUACCAUCAGAGUGAACAGGCAACCUACAGAAUGGGAGAAAAUUUUUGCCAUCUACCCAUCUGACAAAGGGCUAAUAUCCAAAAUCUACAAAGAACUCAAACAAAUUUACAAGAAAAAAACAACCCCAUCAAAAAGUGGAUGAAGAACAUAAACAGACACUUCUCAAAAGAAGACAUUUAUGCAGCCAAAAGACACAUGAAAAAAUGCUCAUCAUCUCUGGCCAUCAGAGAAAUGCAAAUCAAAACCACAAUGAGAUACCAUCUCACACCAGUUAGAAUGGCAAUAAUUAAAAAGUCAGGAAACAACAGGUGCUGGAGAGGAUGUGGAGAAAUAGGAACACUUUUACACUGUUGGUGGGACUGUAAACUAGUUCAACCAUUGUGGAAGUCGGUGUGGCGAUUCCUCAGGGAUCUAGAACUACAAAUACCAUUUGACCCAGCCAUCCCAUUACUGGGUAUAUAUCCAAAGGAUUAUAAAUCAUGCUGCUAUAAAGACACAUGCACACGUAUGUUUAUUGCAGCACUAUUCACAAUAGCAAAGACUUGGAACCAAGCCAAAUGUCCAACAAUGAUAGACUGGAUUAAGAAAAUGUGGUACAUAUACACCAUGGAAUACUAUGCGGCCAUAAAAAAGGAUGAGUUAAUGUCCUUUGUAGGGACAUGGAUGAAGCUGGAAACCAUCACUCUCAGCAAACUAUCACAAGGACAAAAAACCAAACACCACAUGUUCUCACUCAUAGGUGGGAAUUGAACAAUGAGAACACUUGGACACAGGAAGGGGAACAUCACACACCAGGGCCUGUUGUGGGGUGGGGGGAGAAAGGAAGGAUAGCAUUAGGAGAUAUACCUAAUGUAAAUGACAAGUUAAUGGGUGCAGCACACCAACAUGGCACAUGUAUACAUAUGUAACAAACCUGCACGUUGUGCCCAUGUACCCUAAAACUUAAAGUAUAAUUAAAUAAAAAAAUUUAUCUAUUACAUUUUCUU